AUUUUCCUGGAACACCGGUCCAAAACUCGACCACUGCGGGUCACUUUUGUAACAUCUGCAAUGCUUACUACUGAAUUGGUUAUAGGCAACGGUACCUCUUGACCAUUCUCUAACAUCAUAGCAUUUUAUUGAUACGGUACAACCUUAUCAGAUGCAUACCAGAUGGGCCCUGCUAACCGUAUUACCAACGACGAUACUGAUCUAUUGUUGACGUUCUUG
rnacentral:lncRNA from 1 species